AGCAGCAGCGCGGGAAUACGGAGGGGGCUAGCGUUGUUCGGAAUUACUGGGCGUAAAGCGCACGUAGGCGGCUUUGUAAGUUAGAGGUGAAAGCCCGGAGCUCAACUCCGGAAUUGCCUUUAAGACUGCAGAGCUAGCAGGUGAGAGAGGUGAGUGGAAUUCCGAGUGUAGAGGUGAAAUUCGUAGAUAUUCGGAAGAACACCAGUGGCGAAGGCGGCUCACUGGCUCAUACUGGACGCUGAGGUGCGAAAGCGUGGGGAGCAAACAGGAUUAGAUACCCCAGUAGUCCCUGUCUCUUAUACA
rnacentral:rRNA from 1 species